rnacentral:rRNA from 1 species
GCAUAUCAAUAAGCGGAGGAAAAGAAACCAACAGGGAUUGCCCCAGUAACGGCGAGUGAAGCGGCAACAGCUCAAAUUUGAAAUCUGGCCCCUAGGGUCCGAGUUGUAAUUUGUAGAGGAUGCUUUUGGUGAGGUGCCGCCCGAGUUCCCUGGAACGGGACGCCGCAGAGGGUGAGAGCCCCGUCUGGCUGGCCACCGAGCCUAUGUAAAGCUCCUUCGACGAGUCGAGUAGUUUGGGAAUGCUGCUCAAAAUGGGAGGUAUAUGUCUUCUAAAGCUAAAUAUUGGCCAGAGACCGAUAGCGCACAAGUAGAGUGAUCGAAAGAUGAAAAGCACCUUGAAAAGAGGGUUAAACAGUACGUGAAAUUGUUGAAAGGGAAGCGCUUGUGACCAGACUUGGGCGCGGCGGAUCAUCCGGGGUUCUCCCCGGUGCACUUCGCCGCGUUCAGGCCAGCAUCAGUUCGGCGCGGGGGAAAAAGGCUUCGGGAACGUGGCUCCUCCGGGAGUGUUAUAGCCCGUUGCAUAAUACCCUGCGCUGGACUGAGGACCGCGCAUCUGCAAGGAUGCUGGCGUAAUGGUCACCAGCGACCCGUCUUGAAACACGGACCAAGGAGUCGUCUUCGUAUGCGAGUGUUCGGGUGUCAAACCCCUACGCGUAAUGAAAGUGAACGCAGGUGAGAGCUUCGGCGCAUCAUCGACCGAUCCUGAUGUUCUCGGAUGGAUUUGAGUAAGAGCAUACGGGGCCGGACCCGAAAGAAGGUGAACUAUGCCUGUAUAGGGUGAAGCCAGAGGAAACUCUGGUGGAGGCUCGCAGCGGUUCUGACGUGCAAAUCGAUCGUCAAAUAUGGGCAUGGGGGGCGAAAGACUAAUCGAACCUUCUAGUAGCUGGUUUCCGCCGA